rnacentral:rRNA from 1 species
UACAGAGGGUGCAAGCGUUAAUCGGAAUUACUGGGCGUAAAGCGUGCGUAGACGGUUAUUUAAGUCAGGUGUGAAAGCCCCGGGCUCAACCUGGGAUUGCAUUUGAGACUGAAUAGCUAGGGUGCGGAAGAGGGAAGCGGAAUUUCCGGUGUAGCGGUGAAAUGCGUAGAUAUCGGAAGGAACACCAGUGGCGGAAGCGGCUUCCUGGUCCAGCACCGACGUCAGGCGCGAAAGCGUGGGGAGCAAACAGG